CGAGGACUGUGUUAUAUAAACAGUGACUAGACCUCAUGUGAUCACAAGACACUUUCAAGACAUCCAGUUUACAAUUCUUGUGCUGCCUAAUAUACCCUGUGAAAAUGAAAUCUGUAUGUGUGGUCUUCAUGUUCCUGUUCCUCUCUGCUGUCUUUGCUGACCAGAGAGCCGCUGGACCACAGGACGUUGACCAGCCGGUAGAAAGAAAUCUGGAUACCAGACAAGUUCUGGAAUGUGAUACCUACACUCUACCACCAAACUAUCCCCCCUCUCUGUACAAGUGUCGUCCCCGUUUAUAAAUGAGAGUGUUGUCAAAUAUCUAAUCCGUCAAUGUCAAAACUUUGAUUAAAAUAAACAUUUAAAAUGCAA